rnacentral:rRNA from 1 species
AACGGUAACAGGUCUUCGGAUGCUGACGAGUGGCGAACGGGUGAGUAAUACAUCGGAACGUGCCUAGUAGUGGGGGAUAACUACUCGAAAGAGUAGCUAAUACCGCAUGAGAUCUACGGAUGAAAGCAGGGGACCUUCGGGCCUUGUGCUACUAGAGCGGCUGAUGGCAGAUUAGGUAGUUGGUGGGGUAAAAGCUUACCAAGCCUGCGAUCUGUAGCUGGUCUGAGAGGACGACCAGCCACACUGGGACUGAGACACGGCCCAGACUCCUACGGGAGGCAGCAGUGGGGAAUUUUGGACAAUGGGCGAAAGCCUGAUCCAGCAAUGCCGCGUGCAGGAUGAAGGCCCUCGGGUUGUAAACUGCUUUUGUACGGAACGAAAAGCCUGGGGCUAAUAUCCCCGGGUCAUGACGGUACCGUAAGAAUAAGCACCGGCUAACUACGUGCCAGCAGCCGCGGUAAUACGUAGGGUGCAAGCGUUAAUCGGAAUUACUGGGCGUAAAGCGUGCGCAGGCGGUUUUGUAAGACAGUGGUGAAAUCCCCGGGCUCAACCUGGGAACUGCCAUUGUGACUGCAAAGCUAGAGUGCGGCAGAGGGGGAUGGAAUUCCGCGUGUAGCAGUGAAAUGCGUAGAUAUGCGGAGGAACACCGAUGGCGA